AGAUCUUUUCAUUUAAAUGUAUUUUAUACCAGGGAACUCAAUGCCAACACGGAAUUUAGGUGGGGAAAGAGCGUGUUGUUGCAUUUGCAUUGAUAAAAUUGAGUCAGGUGAACUGACACCUUGCUGCAUGUAUUACAAAGUAGUAAUAUUAUUCUAGAAUUGCUGGAAUAAUAUUUCAACACUUUCAGAGCUACCCCUCUUUUAACUCCAACCAUUUGAACCAAAUUAGAAGACUGGUUUUCCCCCCAAAGUCUUUUUUUUUAACAGAACUUGCUGAACAGACUGUUGAGGAACUGUUAGGUCAUGGCUUGAACCAGUGAUUGUGCACCUGGUGAAGAGAUGCAGCUAUCCUAGGGAACACAGACAAAUUGCUUGCACCUGUACACAGGCACAGCUUGUACCAAUAGACCAUAAGUGGUAAACCCCAGGGUGGAGCUACCCUGGACUCAUAUAAGGGCCAGCUACAGAAGGGAGAACAUCUCUUGAACCUAUGGUUUCCUGAGGAGCACUGUAUUAACAGAAAUCUCCUUCACUGUUUUGUUAGAGGCAUAUAAUUCCCUGCUGUCUAGUCCUGCAGAGCAGAUAUAUAAGAAGGAAAUAACAGAAUCAGAGAAUCAUUUGAGUUGGAUCCUUA